AACGAACGCUGGCGGCAGGCCUAACACAUGCAAGUCGAGCGAGAUCUUCGGGUCUAUCGGCGGACGGGUGUGUAACGCGUGGUAAUAUGCCUCUUUGUACGGAAUAGCCUCCGUAAACUUGGAGUAAUACCGUAUGUGCCCUUUGGGGGUAAGGUUUAUCGCCAAGAGAUUAGCCCGCGUUGGUUUAGGUUGUUGGUGGUGUAAUGGCCUACCAAGCCGACGAUCCAUAGCUGGUUUGAGAGGAUGAUCAGCCACACUGGGACUGAGACACGGCCCAGACUGGGACGGGAGGGAGGAGUGGGGAAUAUUAGACAAUGGGGGCAAGCCUGAACAAGCCAUGACGGGUGAGAGAUGAAGGGGUUAGGGUAGUAAAGCUGUAUGAGCUGGGAAGAGAAUGACGGUAACAGGAGAAGAAGCACCGGCUAACUACGUG
rnacentral:rRNA from 1 species